UUUGCUUUGGGCAUCUAAUAAAAUACUGUGUCUUGAUCCUCCCUGCAGACUUACUCAGUGUUAUCUUCCAGACAGCAGGGAUCCAACGGAAACCCACAAGAAUUGUUACUGGGAUGGUAAUCAGAGGGUUAUCUGUUUGGAGAAGCUUGUGGAGGACAUGUAGAGCUUCAGGAUGAAGUAUUGUUCUUCCGGUCUCCGCCCACGGUCAAACUGAAGCAGACCUCUCUCAGUAUUGUGCUGUGAUUGCACAGGUUGUUGAGCCGCAGAAUCACACUGAGGACAUCACAGUGCUCUGGAGCAUGAUGGUUCUUUACAUAAAACCUACAUCCUUCUUGCUUUCACCUGGAGGUCAUGUCAGAAUUUGAAUCAGGUGUUCUGGAGCAGAC